AGUGGUUAAAGUGUCUAUAUGUCUAUAAGUGAUAAUCUGAAAAAGUUAUCACCAGAAGAACUUUCAAACGUUUUGUAUGUCAAAAACACUUUGAAAAGAGGUUUAUUACGCCGAAAUCACGUCUCAUAGGCAGUGCAUAUCCAUCUUUGUUUACCGAAGACGAGAUUUCCUCUGGAAUACCAUCACAGGACAAUGCCGAAAAUAUGGAUAUUGAUAUGGAGCAUAGUUACUCGCGUAAAAGACACUUUGACCACACGUACUUUCAAAGGGAACCACUAAAAGCUCACUAUGCAGAUGGCAGACCAGUCAGUAACACUUUACAAAACACUGCAGACACUGUUU